ensembl:lncRNA
CAGGUUCACGUAAACACAGCACACAGGUGGGAUGUGCAGCACGAGUGCUCUCUGCUCCUCACAGAGAGGUGAUGGAGACGAUUCCUGAGGUCCAGCAGACGUCAGAUUAUCAGUGAUGUCGUGUCCACAGAGGCUUCGCACACGGACUGUGUAGGUCUGAAGGAGGCUCAAUUUGAAGUCCAAUACAAGACUCAACAAGAGCAAAUAGGAACACUCCAACAACAGCUCCUAGAAGCUCAACACCAACUCAAGGAACAGGAAGACAAACAUAGGCAGGACCAGGAG